GUUUGGUCCGUGUGUAUUUGGUGUUGCGUGCAUAUGCACACGCGUGUGUGUGGUGCGUGCAUGUGUAGGAGGGCAAGGGUGGUACGAGUCUUGCAUCUGACCUGCAGAAGCGACAGCCGUUAUUCAAGGUGUAACAAUCAAGCAGCAAGCAACAGACCUGUGAUGCCAGCAAAAUCUAUGUUGUAGGAUCGGUUGGUCAAAAUAAUUUUGAGCGCGACAUUAAUACCAGCCCUGGGGCCAGUUGUACGGAUUGUUGUGAAAACUUAAAACUGUUCUAAAGUAGUAAAUAUAGAAACGUUUUCUUUUCAAAAAUCGCUCCUGUGUUUAGAUGCGUUCCAAACGAAUAUAAUAAAAAUGUGUUGACGGGACGUCUGGCUUAAUUAAACAGUCUUGGUUAAAUUAUACUGUGCACUGUUUUUCUAUAAAACUAAUUAUCUAAACAGAUUUAACGCCUAAGGUAUUUAAAACUAGAAGUACAUUCCCCAGAUAGCAUUGAAACAUUUUAUAAACGUUUAAUAGAUGUCAUUGCAAAAUGUUUGAAUAAUGUUUGCAGCAAACGUUUUUAAACGUUUUUAUGCCCAUCAAAGUAAUGUUUUAGUAAUGUUUGGAUCCGCAACUGGUCUCUAGUUAAUGGAAUAAUUUAGUUGCGUUUAUUGGAAGCAAAGUUUCCCUCGAAAGUUUCCGCCAGUGUUACUAAUGGCAGUUCACGUCCAAAGAAACCAGCUCCUCUUCUGUUAGAAAGAAACACAGACAAGCAAAACGAUGGGCGAACGGACCGACAUACAGGUAGGCCGACAAAGAGAAAUUCUCAGACCACAUCCGUGAUAUAAUAAUCAUUCCACGAAGGCUAUCAUAGGAACUGACCCUCAGGGGAUCUGACGGUAGCUCUCCGUAUGUUCAUCAUGGCUGCUACUCAGGAGAAUGCCUUCAUCUUGCUGACACAGGAAACAAUCACAGCAUCAAAGCUGAACGGUCUCUUAUUUACACGGCGAACAGAAUAACGAAAUCUCUUCUAGAAAAAGUCUACAAUUCAAUAAUGACAUGAAAGAUAACAGAUUACGUUUUAUUCUUUCAUCAUACAGACGGACUAGAAGAGGAUUUCUUUUCUCCCUUCUGUCAUUACUAGAAGAUCAAGGAGAUCUGGGCCCUAUAUUUGGCAGGAUUUCGUAUCCCUGUCUGAAGCAAUAUUGAAUCCUCUCGAACUAUUUCCUUUCUCUAACUGUUUAGAAGCAGAAUUUGCCGAACGGGUUUUGUCUUUGCGUGAAAAUAUACACAGCAAAACAAAAACACAAAAGAAAAGCAAGUUCUGAAACAUUCCUUAGCAUAAAAUGUUUUCCACAUGAACGCGGUUAUGAUACUAAAUGUUUUAUUCAUCAGUGGGUCAAUUGUUUGAAGCAGUUUAUUUUGUCUUCAGGUCGCGAUUGUCCCUUCAGGUCCGAGACAUGUUUGUAUGAAUUCUCGCUUAAAUUAAAAAAAAAAUCUUGAGUUUUAGCUCAUUGCCAGAAAGCUUACAAUGAAUGAAGCUGGCUAUCUGGUAAUGACUCGUCGCAGACGAAGCACUUUAGGCAGUCGCGUGUCCUGGCUAACGCCAAUUAAGAUUGAACACACAUGCACAGCAACAAUCACCCCAUCUCUCGGCCCCACCCCGUCAGGCUAUGACGUCACCUUCCCACUCUCUCCCCACGCCACCGUUGCAUCAGCGGUCUUAUCACGGGACGAAAGCAUGAUGCUUCCUUCGUGUAAUUAUUUCCUGGGACGAGUGAGAGAUUCUGGUGAUGGUAAAUCAGCUUAUCACGCCUUUUCUUCCGACGUCGAGUUAUUGCCCUUGGCAAGGUAGCCCCCCUUGUCGCGUUCCGUGAAGAUAACGGCGGCCAGAUUUGUUGAGGAAGUAUGAUGUCUCACGAACCUCGUUCAAGACGAUCACUAGACUUUCCUACAGCCACUUCGGCGUGGGACGAGCGCCGUCUGGCGGCUUCCCACGAAACUAUAGAAAAAAGGAACACUUUUUAAUUUAAUUUAAUUUAAUUUAAUUUUUAAGGAGAAGGGGGCUGCUAAGCAGGUGAUAGUGAACUGAACAAGAGGAUUUGCAUCUCACCACAAUAGUUCAGUAAAAAAAAAAAUUUAAAGUGAGUGGAGGAUGAAAAAAAAAAACAUCAGUAACUGUAUCAACGACUCCAUCAAUCCCCCUCCCAUACUACCUAUCUACUCACCAACUCAAAAAGGAGAGUUGAUUAAGGUUUCGAAAUAAACCGUAAUUAUACUUUUUUGAGUUAACUGAGAAUAUUAAUAAAUAUAUGAAGAAAAUCAACAGUUAAGCAAAUUAAAACAGAUUCCAGACUGACGAGACCUACAACCCAAUACUGCCUUUAAGGCCCACAUAGUUUCUUUGUAAAACACUUUCAUGGUUUUGAAUUUGUGAAGUGUCAGCAGUCACUUCGCACUUUGUUGUAAAUGUAGACCAAGACAGCUUACAAACAGUACUCCUUCUAAAUAAGAUUAGUCAUAAUGCGCCACGUGUGACUCUCCAUGGUAUGAAGUGGUAUCUGAACUGCUCGAAAUGAGAAGAUAUUCUGAUAGCUACCAUUCGAUUUCACAUUGUAGACACGACAUGGCUCAAACAAGUUUCAAUCUGGUUUAAAAGAUUGUUUCCAAAAGCUUUUUUUCUACAUUUGUGGAGCUCCAUCUCCAUUAUCUGUAGCCCUGCGCCUGUGAAACCUGACCGUCAUAAGACUGGGUCUGUCAAGUAAAUCCCUGUUCUCUCCCCAAAGACACUAAUGAUUUCUAUCAGUCUGCAAAUAACUCAAGUAGAAUCGAUCAAAGAUUUCAGAAAUGGGAGCAAAAAAAAAAAA